AACGAACGCUGGCGGCAGGCCUAACACAUGCAAGUCGAACGGGACCUUCGGGUCUAGUGGCGGACGGGUGAGUAACGCGUGGGAACGUGCCGUUUGGUUCGGAAUAGCCCCGGGAAACUGGGAGUAAUACCGGAUAAGCUCUACGGGGGAAAGAUUUAUCGCCAAAGGAUCGGCCCGCGUUGGAUUAGGUAGUUGGUGGGGUAAUGGCCUACCAAGCCGACGAUCCAUAGCUGGUUUGAGAGGAUGAUCAGCCACACUGGGACUGAGACACGGACCAGACUCCUACGGGAGGCCGCAGUCGGGAGUAUGGGACAAUGGGCGAAAGCCUGAUCCAGCAAUGCCGCGUGAGUGUUGAAGGCCUUAGGGUUGUAAAGCUCUUUUACCCGUGACGAUAAUGACAGUAGCGGGAGAAUAAGCUCCGGCUAACUCCGUGCCAGCCGCCGCGGUAAUAC
rnacentral:rRNA from 1 species